UUUCCGUAGGUGAACCUGCGGAAGGAUCAUUAUUGGAUUUUGAAACUUCAGGCUGCUGCUGGCUCUCCUCGGAGGGCAUGUGUACGCUUGUUGUCCAUUAUUUCUCCCACUGUGCACAAAUUGUAGACCUUUCAGUAGGCCUAUGUUGUUUUUCACAAUCUCUGAAUGUAAUAGAAUGGUUUUGAAUCUUGGGAAAUACAAUACAACUUUCAGCAACGGAUCUCUUGGCUCUC
rnacentral:misc_RNA from 1 species